rnacentral:rRNA from 1 species
GAUGAACGCUGGCGGCGUGCCUAAUACAUGCAAGUCGAGCGAACAGACGAGGAGCUUGCUCCUCUGACGUUAGCGGCGGACGGGUGAGUAACACGUGGAUAACCUACCUAUAAGACUGGGAUAACUUCGGGAAACCGGAGCUAAUACCGGAUAAUAUAUUGAACCGCAUGGUUCAAUAGUGAAAGACGGUUUUGCUGUCACUUAUAGAUGGAUCCGCGCCGCAUUAGCUAGUUGGUAAGGUAACGGCUUACCAAGGCAACGAUGCGUAGCCGACCUGAGAGGGGGGAGGCCCACUGUGAAAGUGAGACGCGGCCCUGGCACCGAGGGAAGGCACAGAUAGGGAAGGGCGGGAACUGGGGGGAAGCCUGCCGAAUGGGCGCCAGGUGGGUGAAGAAGGUCUGCGGGUGGUAAGACUGUUUUAGGGGGGAAAACCAAUUUUAGAAGAAACUAAGCUCUUUGUGACGGUACCUGAUGAAAAAGCCCCGGCUAACUACGUG